CCUCAUCUACGAACCCCUCCUCGCCUUCUCUUCUGAUCCUCUUCGCUUUCGCCUCCGCAUCCCAUUGAUCGAUCGCUCCUCCUCUCCUACGCCGUAGAACCCUAAUCUCAAGAUCUCGCCAUGAAGAGGGGGAAAUCGAAGACUGAUGCUCCCAAGAAGGCUAUCAUCACAGUGUUAAACUUCAACUUGAAAGAUGAGAGAAACAAGCAGAAUGAAAGAGAAGAGGGGGAUUGACACUUGUGUAGGAUUGAGAAGACUGUACUCUUCUUUCUGGAGCAACAAGGAAUUAUUGCACACAGGAUUCAAGAGUUGGGAGAGGAGCAUACUAUACUUCUUGAGUAUCCAGAGAUAUCUAAGCUAUAUCUAAUCUGCAAGAAGCAUAUAUUGAAGUUGGACAUGAUCUUUUAAAGCUUCUCAGAUUUGUAGAUAUGAAUGCUACUGGGAUUCGUAAAAUU